CACGUAGGCGGAUAUUUAAGUCAGGGGUGAAAUCCCAGAGCUCAACUCUGGAACUGCCUUUGAUACUGGGUAUCUUGAGUAUGGAAGAGGUAAGUGGAAUUCCGAGUGUAGAGGUGAAAUUCGUAGAUAUUCGGAGGAACACCAGUGGCGAAGGCGGCUUACUGGUCCAUCACUGACGCUGAGGUGCGAAAGCGUGGGGAGCAAACA
rnacentral:rRNA from 1 species